GCAGUGCGCCAUCGGACCUUUGGACAGUACCGGCAUUCAACUGGACCGUCCUAUCAACUUUACUCUCGGACACGGAGAUCACCGGCAAGAGACGGGAAUCACGUCCGGCACUAUAAAUCGGCCACUGUCCAACUACGGCUUCAAUGGGCACGGCGGCACAGCGUAUGCAAUGACGUCUAACCGCCUUCUGUUGCUUGAACAGGUGAUGUUGAUCGCCGCAUCAUACCAGCUGCAUGCGUAGAACCAGUGCGCCAUCGGACCUUUGGACAGUACCGGCAUUCAACUGGACCGUCCUAUCAACUUUACUCUCGGACACGGAGAUCACCGGCAAGAGACGGGAAUCACGUCCGGCACUAUAAAUCGGCCACUGUCCAACUACGGCUUCAAUGGGCACGGCGGCACAGCGUAUGCAAUGUCGUCUAACCACCUUCUGUUGCUUGAACAGCGAUGACUCUGGACCAACUCACCCGUAUCUACCUUUGCGCCCGGCCUAUUAUUCCUCAAAUAGUUAUUGAUGUAUUCGACGCACAGAUCAAGGUAUUUCCUGGAAAGACCCAAGCAGAGGUCACACGGAUGGUCUGCAGUGCUGUAGACGACGACAGCG